rnacentral:rRNA from 1 species
GUACGGGAGGCAGCAGUGGGGAAUUUUGGACAAUGGGGGCAACCCUGAUCCAGCCAUGCCGCGUGCGGGAAGAAGGCCUUCGGGUUGUAAACCGCUUUUAGCCGGGAAGAAAAGGCGCGGGCGAAUAGCUCGUGUUUUUGACGGUACCGGCGGAAUAAGCACCGGCUAACUACGUGCCAGCAGCCGCGGUAAUACGUAGGGUGCGAGCGUUAAUCGGAAUUACUGGGCGUAAAGCGUGCGCAGGCGGUUCGUUGUGUCGGCGGUGAAAGCCCCGGGCUUAACCUGGGAAUGGCCGUCGAAACUGGCGAACUGGAGUGUGGCAGAGGGGGGUGGAAUUCCGCGUGUAGCAGUGAAAUGCGUAGAGAUGCGGAGGAACACCGAUGGCGAAGGCAGCCCCCUGGGCUAGCACUGACGCUCAGGCACGAAAGCGUGGGGAGCAAACAGGAUUAGAUACCCCGGUAGC